CAUCAGUUUUCCCCGGGGGAUAAAGGCGGCGGGAAUGUGGCUCUCUUCGGGGAGUGUUAUAGCCCACCGUGUAAUGCCCUGGGGGGGACUGAGGUUCGCGCAUCUGCAAGGAUGCUGGCGUAAUGGUCAUCAACGA
rnacentral:rRNA from 1 species